rnacentral:tRNA from 4 species
GCCGGGGUAGCCGAGCUGGCCAAGGCGCAGGCCUGGAGAGCCUGUUCUCCGAAAGGGGAGCGGGAGUUCAAAUCUCCCCCCCGGCG